AAUCCUGGUUGAAGAUGGGUGGACCAUCAUCCAAGGCUAAAUACUACUUACUGACCGAUAGUGAACCAGUACCGUGAGGGAAAGGUGAAAAGAACCCCGGAGAGGGGAGUGAAAUAGAAUCUGAAACCGUUUGCGUACAAGCAGUGGGAGCAUGGUUUAGGCUGUGUGACUGCGUACCUUUUGUAUAAUGGGUCAGCGAGUUACUUUCAGUGGCGAGGUUAACUGAAUAAGGGAGCCGUAGAGAAAUCGAGUCUGAAUAGGGCGAUAGUCGCUGGGAGUAGACCCGAAACCGGGCGAUCUAGCCAUGUGCAGGAUGAAGGUUGGGUAACACCAACUGGAGGUCCGAACCGGGUAAUGUUGAAAAAUUAUCGGAUGACGUGUGGCUAGGAGUGAAAGGCUAAUCAAGCCCGGAGAUAGCUGGUUCUCCCCGAAAGCUAUUUAGGUAGCGCCUCGUGAAUGAUUACUGGGGGUAGAGCACUGUUUCGGCUAGGGGGCUGUCAUGGCUUACCAAACCGAUGCAAACUCCGAAUACCGGCUAAUUGAAUCACGGGAGACACACGGCGGGUGCUAACGUCCGUCGUGGAGAGGGAAACAACCCAGACCGCCAGCUAAGGUCCCCAAGUACUAGUUAAGUGGGAAACGAUGUGGGAAGGCAUAGACAGCCAGGAGGUUGGCUUAGAAGCAGCCACCCUUUAAAGAAAGCGUAAUAGCUCACUGGUCGAGUCGGCCUGCGCGGAAGAUGUAACGGGGCUAAAACUAGUCACCGAAGCUGCGGAUGUGCGCGAAGGCGCACGUGGUAGGGGAGCGUUCUGUAGGCUGAUGAAGGUGCAUUGAGAAGUGUGCUGGAGGUAUCAGAAGUGCGAAUGCUGACAUGAGUAACGAUAAUGUGGGUGAAAAGCCCACACGCCGGAAGUCCCAGGUUUCCUGCACGACGUUAAUCGGAGCAGGGUGAGUCGGCCCCUAAGGCGAGGCUGAAGAGCGUAGUCGAUGGGAACCAGGUUAAUAUUCCUGGACUUUUUAUAAGUGGUGAAGUGGGGACGAAGAAGGCUAGGUGAGCCAGGCGUUGGUUGUCCUGGUACUUGCAUGUAGGGGGGAAGACUUGGCAAAUCCGGUUUUCCAUAACUCUGAGGUGCGAAGUGGUUCUGACCUUUUGGUACAGAGAAGUCAUUGAUGCCCGGCUUCCAGGAAAAGCUGCUAGCCAUAACUUAUAGAGAACCGUACCGCAAACCGACACAGGUGGACAGGUAG
rnacentral:rRNA from 1 species